rnacentral:rRNA from 1 species
ACGGGUGAGUAAUGUCUGGGAAACUGCCUGAUGGAGGGGGAUAACUACUGGAAACGGUAGCUAAUACCGCAUAACGUCGCAAGACCAAAGAGGGGGACCUUCGGGCCUCUUGCCAUCAGAUGUGCCCAGAUGGGAUUAGCUAGUAGGUGGGGUAACGGCUCACCUAGGCGACGAUCCCUAGCUGGUCAGAGAGGAUGACCAGCCACACUGGAACUGAGACACGGUCCAGACUCCUACGGGAGGCAGCAUG